UCCUACGACUCCUUAACCAAAAGCUCGUAAACCGUAGCGCGGUUUACGCUUGGCGCGCAAGGAAGGAUAAAUGUCAAGUUUCCGCGGAUAAAUACGAAAUUUUGAGGAUAAUUACGAAGAUCGGAAAAAAUGGAAUAUCUCCAUUUAAUGCUAUGACGGCUUAAGGGCAGAAGAGUAAAAGCGUAAACCGACCUUGGAGAUAGUAUAUAAAGGAGUCCUAGGCGAGAGGCAUAAGGGGGGACUUUUUAGACUCGGAAUUCUCUGCACUUAGAAACUUUAGGCUUUAUUCUCGACAACUUCGGUUUCUAUGACUAGCACUCAAUUACUAGACGAACUCGGCCAGGCAGUUCGAUCUCUUGUUCAGCUCUAUCAAUUGAACUACGUUCGGCUUGAUCCUCGAAAGGGGUA
rnacentral:lncRNA from 1 species